rnacentral:rRNA from 1 species
GACGUAGGGCGCGAGCGUUGUCCGGAUUUAUUGGGCGUAAAGAGCUCGUAGGCGGCUUGUUGCGUCGACUGUGAAAACCCGCAGCUCAAACUGUGGGCGUGCGGGGCGAUACGGGCAGACUUGAGUACUGCAGGGGGAGACUGGAAUUCCUGGUGUAGCGGUGGAAAUGCGCAGAUAUCAGGAGGAACACCGGUGGCGAAGGCGGCUUCUGGGGCUCAUGUCUGACGUGAGGCGCGAAAAGCGUGGGGGGAGCGAAACAGGG